UUGCAAAGAUUUUGUAUUUAAUUAGGUGUGCCCGACCGAUUUGAGGGCCGCUUGGGCCAAAUAUGCCAGGGCCGAUUUUUGGUGCCAGUCCGCCCCUGAUGCUCUGUGUAUUUCCAUU